UGCCCUGCCGGAUGGCGUAAAAAGACGGAACCGAACAAUCAUGUGGGAGCUACCCCGUAAAAAGUGUA
rfam:Oribacterium sp. oral taxon 078 str. F0262 genomic scaffold Scfld2, whole genome shotgun sequence.